rnacentral:rRNA from 1 species
AUUGAACGCUGGCGGCAGGCCUAACACAUGCAAGUCGAGCGAGCGGCGGACGGUUGAGUAAUGUCUGGGAAACUGCCUGAUGGCGGGGGAUAACUACUGGCAACGGUAGCUAAUCCCGCAUACCAUCAGAUGUGCCCCGAUGGGAUUAGCUAGUAGGUGGGGUAACGGCUCACCUAGGCGACGAUCCCUAGCUGGUCUGAGAGGAUGACCAGCCACCCUGGAACUGGGACACGGUCCAGACUCCUACGGGAGGCAGCAGGGGGGAAUAUUGCACAAUGGGCGCAAGCCUGAUGCAGCCAUGCCGCGGGUGUGAAGAAGGCCUUCGGGUUGUAAAGCACUUUCAGCGGGGAGGCGUUACCCGCAGAAGAAGCACCGGCUAACUCCGUGCCAGCAGCCGCGGUAAUAC